rnacentral:rRNA from 1 species
CGCAAGCCUGACGGAGCAAGACCGCGUGCGGGAUGACGGCCUAAUGGUUGUAAACCGCUUUUCUCUGGGAAGAUGAUGACGGUACCAGAGGAAUCAGCCUCGGCUAACUCCGUGCCAGCAGCCGCGGUAAUACGGAGGAGGCAAGCGUUAUCCGGAAUUAUUGGGCGUAAAGCGUUCGUAGGUGGUUAUUCAAGUCUGCUGUCAAAGCGUGGGGCUUAACUCCAUAGAGGCAGUGGAAACUGGAUGACUUGAGUGCGGUAGGGGUCGAGGGAAUUCCCAGUGUAGCGGUGAAAUGCGUAGAUAUUGGGAAGAACACCAGUGGCGAAAGCGCUCGACUGGGCCUGCACUGACACUGAGGGACGAAAGCUAGGGGAGCG